rnacentral:rRNA from 1 species
UUAGUGGCGGACGGGUGAGUAACGCGUGAGAAUCUGCCUCUAGGUCGGGGACAACAACUGGAAACGGUUGCUAAUACCCGAUGUGCAGCAAUGUGAAAGAUUUAUUGCCUAGAGAUGAGCUCGCGUCUGAUUAGCUAGUAGGUGUGGUAAUGGCGCACCUAGGCGACGAUCAGUAACUGGUCUGAGAGGAUGACCAGUCACACUGGGACUGAGACACGGCCCAGACUCCUACGGGAGGCAGCAGUGGGGAAUUUUCCGCAAUGGGCGAAAGCCUGACGGAGCAAUACCGCGUGAGGGACGAAGGCUUUUGGGUCGUAAACCUCUUUUCCCUGAGAAGAAGAUCUGACGGUAUCAGGGGAAUCAGCAUCGGCUAACUUCGUGCCAGCAGCCGCGGUAAUACGAGGGAUGCAAGCGUUAUCCGGAAUUAUUGGGCGUAAAGCGUCCGCAGGUGGCUCUGUAAGUCUGUCGUUAAAGAAUGGGGCUCA